rnacentral:lncRNA from 1 species
AUGCACUCAGUGGUCCCCGGAGCCUCUGUCCGGAGGUCAGGGGGCGCCUGGAAAUUCUGGGAGCAUACUGCAGAGUCAGGGGGUGAAGCCCUGCUCUGCGGCCGGCCGAGGCCUGUGGGGAGGCAGAGAGCCAGUGGCUGCGUCAGGAAUACUCAUUCUCGGCUCUGGAGGUGCAUCUGGCCAGACAACAUGAUGCAGCCUGGAAUUGCCAUCUCUCCUCCUGGGAGGUUUAUCCCUCCCAUCUGCUACAUUUCACCCAAAUGAGGAUGCAGAUCAGAAACAUGGUGAGUGUUGGACCACAUCCCUCCUGUCCUCUUUUUCUUUUUCAUGUAGACAAGAACACAAGCCACUCCACUGGGGGAUAUUAUUAUAAUUAGCAUCGCCAUCAUUUAAAUCGAACUCUACUCAAAGUAUACCUUCUUAUGGAAAGUGGUUUGCCCAAUCUCGAGUCCAAGAUCAUUUUAGGUCACUAUCUGAGCCCCACUAUCAAUAUAUGAUGCCACAUCCUUUUUAAUUAUUAUUGUCUAAUUUUUAUUGUACCUAUAACUCGACAUAAUUUUGUCCGUGAUGGAUUAUGUAUGCCCAGCAAAGUGUGCUGAGAGGGAACACGCUGUGAAACAGAAAAGCAGAGAAGUCAAACAAGAAAAGUUUGCGAGUAAAUGUGAGUAGCUAACUGCAUUGUCCACCGUCUUGAAUGCUACCCAGAGGUCAAAUAAAAUGGCAGAAAAAUUAGCGUUGAGUUUGGAG